rnacentral:lncRNA from 1 species
AAACGAUUUUCGGAUAAAAAUUAAUUUUCCGUUGUUGUUUAUUCGAUAUAAAAUAAAGGGAUAAUUGUCGAUAUACCCCUUAUACGUUUGAAAAUAUUUGGUUUAUUCCAACUUUUUUGUUCUAAAAUACUCCUCAUAUGUUUCACCGUUGUUGCAAAAUAAAAAAUAUUGGUGACGGUCGAAUGGUAUAUUUGAAAAAGACCAAAAGUCAAAAUACUUUUUGUGCCCCUGAUUUUAAGGGCAAAUAAGAAAAGUCGGUGAUGAUAGAAGGGUAUAUUUGAAAGGGCAAAAUAGUAAUUUCACAGAGAUAACAGAGUUUAUUAACAGAUUUUAACUCUAGAAAUAUAUUAGAAAUAGAUUGGAAUAUAAAAAAUGUAUUUUCAAUAUUAAUCUUCUAAAAAAGAUAAAUUAGAAAGUCGGAAACCUUUCAGAAUUAUAUAAGUAAUUGCUUCUAAAAUAAAAGUAUUACGGUGCAUAAGAGGAUGAAAAAAAAUUAAGAAGUAAAAUUUUUUUUUAUCAAUUUC